GAUUGUAAGAAAACAUUUCCCACGGCAUUGUGUAUGGGGGGUUCUCUGGAAGCUAUCAGACGAUUACUGCACGGACGCGGUGGCAUUGAGAAAUUAAUUAUGAUGGAUACAUCAUGGGACAUGGUAAAAUUGUGUAAAGAUGCUGAGCAGAAAAUUCCAAAUGAUAAUAUUGAAACAUCAUAUAUUAUUGGUGAUGAAGAAUAUCUGCCCGUGAAAGAAAAUUCUGUUGAUCUGGUCAUUAGCUGCUUGGGACUACAUUGGACAAAUGAUCUUCCUGGGGCAAUGAUACAGUGCAGAUUGUCUUUAAAGCCAGAUGGCCUAUUCCUGGCAGCUAUUCUUGGUGGAGAAACAUUGAAGGAGCUGCGGAUAGCUUGCACUAUUGCACAAAUGGAGCGUGAAGGAGGCAUCAGUCCGCGAUUAUCACCCUUGGCACAAGUGCGUGAUGCUGGUAAUCUCUUGACUCGGGCAGGCUUUACUCUUCCAGGGGUUGAUGUUGAUGAGUAUACAGUUCGAUAUAGUAGUGCUUUGGAGUUGAUAGAACAUCUUCGUGCUAUGGGCGAAACUAGUGCUCUACUGCAAAGGAGCAAGGUAUUGAAGAAGGAUACAGCCCUGGCCACAGCAGGUAUUUAUGAGUCAAUGUUUGCAGCUGAAGAUGGCACCAUUCCAGCAACAUUUCAGGUUGCCAAACACUUUUCUGCUCGACCUUCUUAUGUCCAUCUUUAGAGGUCCGAAAUCAGGAGUACCACUGUUCGCAUAUCCAUCCCACCAUCCUUCCACACUUUUCAGAAAACCUUCAGCCACAUAUUUUCAAACUAGUAAGUGCGACAUGGCUUCCGAUCCUUGCACUCCAGCAUCAAAGAUAAUAUACAUGACUGGAUGGAGGGAACACUAUUCUCAACAGAGACCAAGUAGGAGGGGCUCAGCCAGUGUCUCAUUCCAGGAUCUCCAAAAGCAAUUUGGCAGUGAUGGUAGCUGCUGACUUACUCUCAACGUUCU